rnacentral:ncRNA from 2 species
CAUAGUGUGCUGGGGUGCCGGGGCGGGAUGAGCCGACGCGGCUGAGAUCAUACCCAUUGAACCUGAUCUGGAUCAUGCCAGCGAAGGGAGCGUUACCAUGUCACCU